ensembl:lncRNA
UUUCGAGUGUCCACACUGCGACGGGACAGCUCUGUUUUAAAAUGUAUCCAUUUUCGAGAGCGUUUUCAAAACGUUGCAUUUUUCCUUGAGGAAAACGCCGUCUCAGUGUGGAAGGGAGAGAAAACGAUGCGUUUUCAAACGAAAAAGCAUUAGUGUGUACGUAGCCGUUAUCCAGUGACCGUAAAAGUACUACGGAAAUUUUGUCUGUUACUGCCAGUGUACUUGGUGCAAAUACUGUGGCAAGGAGAAUGUCUGCAAUGUCUGCAGAUGCAUUAUAACAGUUGGAAUUGGACAUGCAGAGGUGCAAAUCAUUUUUAAUUCAGUGUGCGGAGUCUGUCAACUCCAGUGAUACAGGCCAGCUGGCUGCUUUCAUUCAGAUGGUGUUUGGUGACUUUUUUACUUAAACUGAAAACUACAAGCAGAGCAGCGGAUAUUUACAAUCACUGAAGGACUACGUUGUAGGAAAAAAAAACAUGCCUGUUGAAAAGCUCGUGUCUGUGACAACUGAUGGAGCACCUGCUGUGGCAGCUCCAUUUGAGCAAAGGCAAAGCAACACCGAAGCUUCAGGUUGUUCCUGGAGGAAUGUUCUGCUGAGUAUGGGGAUCUCCUCCUCCACACUGAACUCAGAUGGUUAAGUCGAGAUUUCCCUGGACCUGCUCCUGUGUUUCCUGGAUGACCGCGCUUGUGUCUUUGGAGUGAAGCCAGUUUGCGUGAGGAGAUUCGGAGUGCGGAAAUGGAGCGACUGAGCGAGGGAGUGAAGCGUGUGGAGUGAACGGAGCGAGGAUCAAAGAGCAAGGAUGGAGUGUUUCUUCCCUGCACCCGCUGAGGAUCCCUGGAGCCCUGUCUGUCCCCUCACGUUGUAUAUAGUUCACCUGGUGCUUAGUGUAGAUAAAGACUGUUUUCUGCUUUGAUUCCAAGUCUUCGUAGGAGUCCAUUCUGUCAGCCCUGACACUUGCAAGUGAACUAAAUAUUUUUUUUAAGUGUUAAUGCAAAAAGUAAGUUGUGGACAACAUCAUUUUGUAAAUAUUCCCAAAAACAAGCUUUUUGGGGUUGUUUGAGUUGAAAUGAGGUAUGAAAUGUUAGAAAGCAUGAGUAGCUCUGGGGGAGGGGGGGGGGAAUCCCUGCCUUAGAGUAUCUGCUGGUAAAGCUAAAAGCUAACCAUUAAAAACAGCACACAUGUUAAGCCUUAAUAAGAUUUAAAAUAAACUUAUCCAGCUGUUUCAAGGUGUUUAAUAUGAGGAGUGAAUCAGAUGCACACUUAAUG